rnacentral:rRNA from 1 species
GAUGAACGCUGGCGGCGUGCCUAAUACAUGCAAGUCGAGCGAACGGACGAGACGCUUGCUUCUCUGAUGUUUGCGGCGGACGGGUGUGUAACACGUGGAUACCCUACCUAUAAGACUGGGAUCACUUCGGGAAACCGGCGCUAAUACCGGAUGAUCUUUUGAACCGCAUGGUUCAAUAGUGAAAGACGGUCUUUCUGUCACUUAUAGAUGCAUCCGCGCUGCAUUAGCUAGUUGGUAAGGUAACGGCUUACCAAGGCAACGAGGCAUAGCCGACCGGAGAGGGGGGUCGGCGACACGGGAGGGGGAACGCGGACAAGGCGACUACGAGAGGGAGCAGUAGGGAAUCGGCGGCAGUGGGGGAGAGCAUGACGGAGCGGCGGCGCGUGAGUGGUGGAGGUCCUGGGAUCGUGAAAAUCGGUUAUGAGUGAAAAACAGAUGUGUAAGGAAAUGAGCACAUCGUGACGGUACCUGAUCAGAAAGCCACGGCUAACUACGUG